rnacentral:rRNA from 1 species
GACGAACGCUGACGGCGUGCUUAACACAUGCAAGUCGAAGGGAGUGGCGAACGGGUGAGUAACACGUGAGUAACCUGCCCUUUUCUUUGGGAUAAUCCUGGGAAACUGGGUCUAAUACUGGAUGGAUUGUGCUGGGCUCGCGGCUUCUCGGCUUGUUGGUGGGGUGAUGGCUUACCAAGGCUUUGACGGGUGGCUGGCCUGAUAGGGGGGUCGGUCACACUGGGACUGAGAAACGGCCCAGACUCCGACGGGGGGCAGAAGUGGGGGAUAUGGCACAAUGGACGAAAGUCUGAUGCAGCGACGUCGUGUGAGGGAUGAAGGCCUUCGGGUUGUAAACGCCUUUCGCCCGCGGAAUGGUAGUGGGUAAAGAAGCGCCGGCUAACUACGUGCCAGCAGCCGCGGUAAUAC